GUGAAUCAUCAAAUUUUUGAACGCAAAUUGCACUCUCUUCGGAGAGUAUGCCUGUUUGAGGGUCAGCCUAAAAAAAAUCGACAUAGUCACUGUUUCGCGGUGACAUUUGUCGUCAAUUUGGUCAUCUUACACCUUUUGGUGUUAAGCGGCUUACAAUUUUCUUUCCGAUUCCACGAACGUUUCUAAGAUUUACUUCUUAUACGUUUAAGGUAUCGAUCUUUAUUAUACGUAGC
rnacentral:misc_RNA from 1 species